rnacentral:misc_RNA from 1 species
CCGAGUUUACAACUCCAAACCCCUGUGAACAUACCUAUACGUUGCCUCGGCGGAUCAGCCCGCGCCCCGUAAAAAGGGACGGCCCGCCCGAGGACCCCUAAACUCUGUUUUUAGUGGAACUUCUGAGUAAACAAACAAAUAAUCA